rnacentral:sRNA from 1 species
UAAGCCACCAUGCCAGUGCUGGAAACUAAAUCCAGGUCCUCUACAACAGCAUCCAGUGCUCUUAACCACAGCUAUCUCUCCAGGACCCAUUGUCUUUGAAGGACAACAGGGACCUCUUGAACGAGACUCACGGAAGCAGUGAUCGGUGCAAAAACAAGAGGAGCUUAAUUCCGCCCACGUGUCCGGGGCCAUCCCACUUCAAGGGGAGCCAAACCUGAGCAGACACUAACAGGGAGAUACAUACCUGCAAACAAUUGGGGCAGAAUUCAAACAAUGGUAACUAGGCAGGGUACUAUUGAUGAAGCAAAGUGACCUUCAAGCUGACUCGUGGUCAGUGGGCCGUUCUGGACUUUCUAGGAGAGGACAGUUGGGAGUCACAGGUAGCUUUGUUUGACAAUUUGGCUUGUAGCCAUUCCAGAAACUAAACUAACUCUACUCCCACUGGAAGGGAGGGGUCUUUCUGUGCUCGAAGGUUUGUGGUGGAAUUUCCCCACUGGCCUCAGAUUGACCCCAACCCUGUCUCUUUCACAAUCCCAGCACAAAACAAUGGGACCAGCUAACCACAGACUGAAACCUUCAAACCAUGAGUUAAAGUAAACCUUUUCUCUUUUUAUAUUGAUUGUCUCAGGUAUUCUAUUACAGUAACAGAAAGCUAACUCUUUCAAAAAACAGAGAACAGCAGAGCAGUGUGGUUCCUAAUGCAAAAGCACCCCAGGGUCUCACUGGGUCUUACUGAAAACCUUGAACCCGAAGUCUGGGCGAACUAGAUCCAGGGUUAAUUUUCAGGACUGCACCGUAAAAUGCAAUCGAUGAAAUCCAGACUGGAAAUUUCUACAGGUCAGCUUCUCUCACUGACAUAUGCUAAGAAAGAGGCGGAGAUAGACUCUCCAAACAUUCCUAAGACAGUUACAGAGACCAAGACUGACCUUGUAAUGACUUGUGAAGGCACACUUGGUGACAGAACUGAAGAACAGAGCGGAUAUCAGGAGGGGCAGGAGAUGUAAAUUUCCCCUGCCUGGGUGGUGCUUACCUAGGGGGUCAGUUUACUAUUCAGUACGUUUUAUACACGUGGUUUCCGGGUUUUUGGAGAUUUAAGGAUCGGGUCGAGGCAUCUCGCAGGCCCUUACGUUGGGGAGACUGACUUCAAGCUAAGCACUUCCAACUCCUAGACCCAAAGCAAGCUGAAGCGAGAUGACCCAGGGGUCAAUCACCCGGGAAGAGGCUGACUCUGGCUUCAGGCUGACCUCCAUGUCCUCCAGGCCCAGUGCCCUCUGGGGUCGAGAAAGUCUCGACAAGCUUGGGGCUACAAGGCUUGGGGUGCUUUACCUGGGUCGACUUCAAGGAAAAUCGAGGUCAGGGAGGAAACGGGCAGAGGUGGGUAUAGACUGGAGCCCUAGGAGGUGGGACUAGGGCGGAUGCGCUCCUCUGAGCGCUCGCGGUGCGUGGUGGACGCUCUGCCCAGCUCCUCUUUGCUGACCUGCCACGAGGGCAGUCAUCCUGGGGAAACAGGCCGCCAGGGUCACGGAGCACAUCCGAAUGUCCUGCCCCAACCCGGUGCGGCAUCCAGGCACCAGAUCCAUCUGGGGACACCCGCUGGCCUGGGGCAGCCACACAGACCCAAGGGGGAGCAGGGAUAAAGACGCGGAACUGGUCGCGCGAUCCGCGUGGGUCCCGCCAACCCAGCCGCUGUUGAAGACGCUCAGGGCCCAGAGUCCGGCGGGCACAGCAUUCGGGUGACCUCCGAGCCUCAGGAAAUCCGCGGCUCGCCUGCUCCAACGCUCCCUCCCCUGUCUCACUUCCCUGGGACCUCGGUCUCCUCCCGCAUCCUUCUGUUCCAAGACACUUCCCAGCGCCGCAAGGAGGCGCUGUGUGCGGGCCGCUGGAGGGCGCCCCCAGUGCGUCCAACUUAAGAAAGAUCGGAGCUGGAACUAGAAUUUGGCCAGGGCUCUUGAAUACACGUGAGGGACGGGCCAGGUGACAUAUCCCUGAAACCUCAGUCACAGGAGGAAAAUAAAGGCUUUUUCCUUGUUU